rnacentral:rRNA from 1 species
AGCCGCGGUAACACCAGCUGCACAAGUGUAUAUUAAAGUUGUUGCAGUUAAAAAGCUCGUAGUUGGAUAUCUGUCUUGACUGACCUAGCCCUAGGCCUUCGGGUUCUGGCGUGCUGGUUGUGGCGACCUCUGCUUCGGCGGUUGUGUUGCCCGUCAUGUCGGACAUACUUCAGGAAAUCUAUCCUGCCUUUAAUUAGGUUGGGGUAAGGAUCCUGAUCGUUUACUUCGAAAGAAUUAGAGUGUUUAACGCAGGCUUUGUGUCGCGAAUAUAUUAGCAUGGAAUAAUAAGAUAGGGCUUCGGCAAUGUAGGGAGAUGCCAUGUCUGGUCUCUGUGGUCUUCGGACGGCGUUAUCGG